rnacentral:rRNA from 1 species
GUUUGAUCCUGGCUCAGAUUGAACGCUGGCGGAAUGCUUUACACAUGCAAGUCGAACGGCAGCACGGGAGCUUGCUCCUGGUGGCGAGUGGCGAACGGGUGAGUAAUGCGUCGGAACGUACCGAGUAAUGGGGGAUAACGCAACGAAAGUUGUGCUAAUACCGCAUACGCCCUGAGGGGGAAAGCGGGGGAUCGUAAGACCUCGCGUUAUUCGAGCGGCCGACGUCUGAUUAGCUAGUUGGUGGGGUAAAGGCCUACCAAGGCGACGAUCAGUAGCGGGUCUGAGAGGAUGAUCCGCCACACUGGGACUGAGACACGGCCCAGACUCCUACGGGAGGCAGCAGUGGGGAAUUUUGGACAAUGGGGGCAACCCUGAUCCAGCCAUUCCGCGUGAGUGAAGAAGGCCUUCGGGUUGUAAAGCUCUUUCAGCAGGAACGAAACGGUGCGCUCUAACAUAGCGUGCUAAUGACGGUACCUGCGGAAGAAGCACCGGCUAACUACGUGCCAGCAGCCGCGGUAAUACGUAGGGUGCGAGCGUUAAUCGGAAUUACUGGGCGUAAAGCGUGCGCAGGCGGAUUGUUAAGCAAGACGUGAAAUCCCCGGGCUUAACCUGGGAAUGGCGUUUUGAACUGGCAGUCUAGAGUGUGUCAGAGGGGGGUGGAAUUCCACGUGUAGCAGUGAAAUGCGUAGAGAUGUGGAGGAACACCGAUGGCGAAGGCAGCCCCCUGGGAUAACACUGACGCUCAUGUACGAAAGCGUGGGUAGCAAACAGGAUUAGAUACCCUGGUAGUCCACGCCCUAAACGAUGUCAACUGGUUGUUGGGGGAGUGAAAUCCCUUAGUAACGAAGCUAACGCGUGAAGUUGACCGCCUGGGGGAGUA